rnacentral:rRNA from 1 species
CAGCAGCCGCGGUAAUACAGAGGGUGCGAGCGUUAAUCGGAUUUACUGGGCGUAAAGCGUGCGUAGGCGGCUUUUUAAGUCGGAUGUGAAAUCCCUGAGCUUAACUUAGGAAUUGCAUUCGAUACUGGGAAGCUAGAGUAUGGGAGAGGAUGGUAGAAUUCCAGGUGUAGCGGUGAAAUGCGUAGAGAUGUGGAGGAAUACCGAUGGCGAAGGCAGCCCCCUGGGCCAAUACUGACGCUGAGGUGCGAAAGCGUGGGGAGCAAACAGGAUUAGAUACCCGUGUAGUCCCUGUCUCUUAUAU